UUCGGUGAGGAGCGGCGGACGGGUUAGUAACGCGUGGGAAUAUACCCUUCUCUACGGAAUAGCCUCGGGAAACUGAGAGUAAUACCGUAUAAGCCCUUCGGGGGAAAGAUUUAUCGGUGAAGGAUUAGCCCGCGUUAGAUUAGAUAGUUGGUGGGGUAAUGGCCUACCAAGUCUACGAUCUAUAGCUGGUUUGAGAGGAUGAUCAGCAACACUGGGACUGAGACACGGCCCAGACUCCUACGGGAGGCAGCAGUGGGGAAUCUUAGACAAUGGGCGCAAGCCUGAUCUAGCCAUGCCGCGUGAGUGACGAAGGUCUUAGGAUCGUAAAGCUCUUUCGCCAGAGAUGAUAAUGACAGUAUCUGGUAAAGAAACCCCGGCUAACUCCGUGCCAGCAGCCGCGGUAAUACGGAGGGGGUUAGCGUUGUUC
rnacentral:rRNA from 1 species